UACGGGGGGAGCAAGCGUUGUUCGGAUUUACUGGGCGUAAAGGGCGCGUAGGCGGCCACCGCAAGUCGACUGUGAAAUCUCCGGGCUUAACCCGGAAAGGUCAGCCGAUACUGCGGGGCUAGAGUGCAGAAGGGGCAACUGGAAUUCUCGGUGUAGCGGUGAAAUGCGUAGAUAUCGAGAGGAACACCUGCGGCGAAGGCGGGUAGCUGGGCCGACACUGACGCUGAAGCGCGAAAGCCAGGGGAGCGAACGGG
rnacentral:rRNA from 1 species